AACGAACGCUGGCGGCAUGCCUAACACAUGCAAGUCGAACGAGACCUUCGGGUCUAGUGGCGCACGGGUGCGUAACGCGUGGGAACCUGCCCUUAGGUUCGGAAUAACUCCCCGAAAGGGGUGCUAAUACCGGAUAAUGUCUUCGGACCCAAGAUUUAUCGCCUUUGGAUGGGCCCGCGUUGGAUUAGCUAGUUGGUAGGGUAAAAGCCUACCAAGGCGACGAUCCAUAGCUGGUCUGAGAGGAUGAUCAGCCACUCUGGGACUGAGACACGGCCCAGACUCCUACGGGAGGCAGCAGUGGGGAAUAUUGGACAAUGGGCGAAAGCAUGAUCCAGCAAUGCCGCGUGAGUGAUGAAGGCCUUAGGGUUGUAAAGCUCUUUUACCCGGGAUGAUAAUGACAGUACCGGGAGAAUAAGCUCCGGCUAACUCCGUG
rnacentral:rRNA from 1 species